CAAAGAGACAACUACCCGACCAUAGAAAAAACAACAGCAGAAGGUCACCAACAGGUCUUCAAUGUAGCGAGAAAUUCCCGCACCCGGAGGCGUCCUUCAACUGGCCCCUAAACAAAUAUAUACUAGUUCAGUGAUAAUGAACGCCAUACUAAUUUCCAAAUUGUACACAAGAAACUAAAAUUAAAAUAAUACAAGACUAACAAAGGCCAGAGGCUCCUGACUUGGGACAGGCGCAAAAAUGCGGCGGGGUUAAACAUGUUUGUGAGAUCUCAACCUCCCCCUAUACCUCUAGCCAAUGUAGAAAAGUAAACGCAUAACAACACGCACAUUAAAAUUCAGUUCAAGAGAAGUCCGAGUCUGAUGUCAGAAAAUGUAACCAAAGAAAAUAAACAAAAUGACAAUAAUACAUAAAUAACAAC
rnacentral:lncRNA from 1 species